AUUCAUUAAUUGGCCCAAGAUGGGGGUUUGUCAUUCCAGGCCCUAUUCUCCCCUUUCCUGUCCAGAGGACUUGCAGCCCUGGCCCAGGGACACAUGGGGAUCUGGGGAGGGGGAGGUACUGCUCUCUCCCUGGGAAGUUCUGGAUCUGGUUAUGUCUGAAGCCACACAGAGCACUUAGUCUGGCAGAUGCUUGACUUGUGACAGAUUUGCCGGGACCUAUCAGGUUUUUGCUUUCAUGUGUACUGUCACUUGUGUAUGCUGCCUGUGCUAAGAAGCAAACUGAAAAAGACAAUUUCUGCUCUCGUGGAUGUCACCUGUUUCAGGAACAAGACACUUUGCUUCUAUUUUCUUAACAGAAGAGGGAUUGUACAGUCAGAAGGACUCCGGGAUAGGAUGCCGUAACCUGCCACUUUAUCAACACAUCCUGCCCUGGUAUUUCUCUCACUUGAGUCUUUACCUGAAGCUCAGAAGAGAAUAGAUGAAAGACCAGAGGAGACUUUCUCAGGCUAAGAGAUGACAGCAGCCAGAACAUUUGGUAAAAUAGUUUAUGGACAACGCGUUUUGGUAUUUUUGUGUGCAUGUGUUAAUCCUU
rnacentral:lncRNA from 1 species